GGGUAUACUUCGGUGGUUAGAGUACAGGCUUAGCAAGCAUGAAGUCCUGGGUUCAAUCCCCAGUACCUCCA
rnacentral:tRNA from 1 species